UACGUAGGGGGCAAGCGUUAUCCGGAUUUACUGGGUGUAAAGGGAGCGUAGGUGGCUGUGUAAGUCAGAUGUGAAAGCCCGGGGCUUAACCCCGGGAUUGCAUUUGAAACUGCAUGGCUAGAGUGCAGGAGAGGUAAGUGGAAUUCCUAGUGUAGCGGUGAAAUGCGUAGAUAUUAGGAGGAACACCAGUGGCGAAGGCGGCUUACUGGACUGUAACUGACACUGAGGCUCGAAAGCGUGGGGAGCAAACAGG
rnacentral:rRNA from 1 species